UACAGAGGUCUCGAGCGUUGUUCGGAUUCAUUGGGCGUAAAGGGUGCGUAGGUGGCGCUGUAAGUCAGGUGUGAAAUUUCGAGGCUUAACCUCGAAACUGCAUUUGAUACUGCGGUGCUUGAGGACUGGAGAGGAGACUGGAAUUUACGGUGUAGCAGUGAAAUGCGUAGAGAUCGUAAGGAAGACCAGUGGCGAAGGCGGGUCUCUGGACAGUUCCUGACACUGAGGCACGAAGGCCAGGGGAGCAAACGGG
rnacentral:rRNA from 1 species